rnacentral:rRNA from 1 species
CGAAGGCGUAGCGUUGCUCGGAAUUACUGGGCGUAAGGGCGCGUAGGCGGCGGCCCAAGUCAGGCGUGAAAUUCCUGGGCUCAACCUGGGGACUGCGCUUGAUACUGGGUUGCUUGAGGAUGGAAGAGGCUCGUGGAAUUCCCAGUGUAGAGGUGAAAUUCGUAGAUAUUGGGAAGAACACCGGUGGCGAAGGCGGCGAGCUGGUCCAUUACUGACGCUGAGGCGCGACAGCGUAGGAGCAAACAGGAUU